CUUUCUGGGUCCACGCAAAUCACGGAGGAGGAGAGAAAAAAGAGCAGGUGUCCAGGUGAAACUCAGACUGUUCUGGAAGCAGGGACUAGCUGUGCCUGGAUCUAUGGGACGGCGUUACCUCAGGAGUGUUCAUCCAGACUCUCCGGUUGUUUGACUUUCCAUCCCCACGUGGAAUAGAGGUUGCUGGGAUCACUGGAAACGCCAGCAGAAGAGGAAGAACUUUUCACAGUGCUCGCUUCAGAAAGUUUCACUCAGCGAUCACUACCACCUCUUUGUCUCCUGAUCUGUUUCUCUGACUUGUCCUCUCUCAGUAGAUCCCUGGAGCUAUGUGAAGUUCCCUCCUGCUUCAAACGCUCCACGAAGAAACCCACCAUUAUAGAACUGAAUGAUUAUAGACCUUUCGCCUUGAUGUCUGUGGUCAUGAAAUCCUUUGAACGCCUGGUGUUAGCUCAUCUGAAGGACAUUACAGGAGACCGGCUGGAUCUACUGCAAUUUGCCUAUCAGGAAAACAGGUUGGAGGAUGACGCAGUGAACAUGGGACUGCAUUACAUCCUGCAACAUCUCGACCGCCUGGGAACUUAUGCCAGGAUCCUGUUUGUGAACUUCACUUCAGCUUUUGAUACUGUUGUGCCUGAACUUCUCUUCUCCAAACUCUCCCAGCUUAGUGUGUCACCAGCUAUCUGUCAGUGGAUCACCAGCUUCCUGACAGAUAGAAAGCAGCAAAUGAGGCUGGGGGAGAUCACCUCUGAAACACAGUCUCCCAGUAUUUAUGUGUCCUCUCACCACUAUUGGUCUCCCUCUACACCAAUGACUGGCCUUUUUUUUUUUCAUUUUUGACCUGGUGCCCUCUGGCAGAUGGUAUAGAAGCCUGCAGACCAGGACCACCCGACACAGGAACAGUUUCUUUCCCCUUGCCAGCUCCCUCCUAAAUAGUUGAACUGUCACAUUGCUUCACACUGACAGACUGCAACUUAACAUUCUGUAUAUCCUGUGGUAUUCAUUUUUGUAAUCCUGUAUUUUUUGUAUAUAAGGAUUUAUUUAGAUAGUUUUUUAUAUUGUUGGUUUAUGUAUAUUAUUUUUGUCGCUCAUAUAUUGUUGUGUUUUGCAUUGUUGUGCUUGAGAGACACCAUCGACCGAAACCAAAUUCCUUGUAUGUGUUUGCGCACAUACAAAAAAUUUGAUUUUCAAUAAAGGUUGUAAGAGUUUCUGCAAUUUUAUCUGCUGCUUAUUUUAUCUUCUAUCUUUUGUACAUCCUCAGUUAAAGAAAAUAAUACAUAUCACUAACAUGUUGUUUGCUCUGUGAAGUUGUAACAGAGUAAAACUCACAGUGUUUCCUUUCAUCUGUUUUUUUUCCUGAAAUGACAAAAAUCACAAAAGAGAGCUGAAAUAAUUAAAA